AACUUUUGCUGGUUUCUAUUUAGCUACUAAUUAGAUGAUUCUUUUUACUUUUCUCAUUUCAGGUAGGUUUAUUAGCAUCUCCAGGGACAGUUGAAAGCCUCGUUGAUCAUUUUCGUUGGAUUUUUGGCCGCUUUGCAGGUGAGUGUAUAUUCUUUUUACUUUUCUCGUUUCAGGUAGGUUUAUUAGCGCAUCCAGGGACAUUUGAAAGCAUUGCUGAUCAUCUUCGUUGGAUUUUUGGCCGCUUAGCAGGUGAGUGUAUGUUGUGAACUUUUGCUGGUUUCUAUUUAGCUACUAAUUAGAUGAUUCUUUUUACUUUUCUCAUUUCAGGUAGGUUUAUUAGCAUCUCCAGGGACAGUUGAAAGCCUCGUUGAUCAUUUUCGUUGGAUUUUUGGCCGCUUUGCAGGUAGGUUUAUUAGCGCAUCCAGGGACAGUUAAAAGCAUCGUUGAU
rnacentral:sRNA from 1 species